AGUUGACAAUAUGAUUUUCCAGCACUAUAAAUACCACAAUUUGAAUUGUUUGUUUCCACCACAAGAAAUCAACAGAAAAUAAGAGCUAUGGCAAAACACACUACUUUUCUCGCCCUCCUCCUUUGCCUCUUCCUUGUUGCUGCAACUGAAAUACAAAUGGCAGAAGGGAAAUAUUGUUGGAAAAAAAGUGGCAAGUGGAAUGGGCCUUGUCAAUACUCUUACAAAUGCAGUCAUCAUUGCAAGUACUACUAUGGAGCUAAAUAUGGUAUUUGUAAGAAGUACAAACCAUGGGGUCACAAAUAUUACUGGGCAAAAUAUGCUUGUUACUGCUACUCACCUUGCCAUUACUAAUCAACUUCAAUAUCGUGUGUCUUGGAUUUGACUAUGUAAACAAAUAAUUAAGAAGCUAUCAGCUAUUUUAUGUGUGUAACAAUGUAAUAAGGUUGAUGAGUAAAUGUAUUAUAUGCUUUUUUAUUAAUAGUUUAGUACUAGUAAAACGUGUGUUGAACAUUUGUACCUUAUAAUUAUUAUAAUUAAAGCUUUUAUAUCUUUAUAA